rnacentral:rRNA from 1 species
GAUGAACGCUGGCGGCGUGCCUAAUACAUGCAAGUCGAGCGAACGGACGAGAAGCCUGCUUCUCUGAUGUUAGCGGCGGACGGGUGAGUAACACGUGGAUAACCUACCUAUAAGACUGGGAUAACUUCGGGAAACCGGAGCUAAUACCGGAGAAUAUUUUGAACCGCAUGGUUCAAAAGUGAAAGACGGUCUUGCUGUCACUUAUAGAUGGAUCCGCGCUGCAUUAGCUAGUUGGUAAGGUAACGGCUUACCAAGGCAACGAUGCAUAGCCGACCUGAGAGGGGGAUCGGCCACACUGGAACUGAGACACGGUCCAGACUACUGCGGGAGGCAGCAGUAGGGAAUCUGCCGCAAUAGGCGAAAGCCUGACGGAGCAACGCCGCGUGAGUGAUGAAGGUCUUCGGAUCGUAAAAAUCUGUUAUUAGGGAAGAACAUAUGUGUAAGUAAAUGUGCACAUCUUGACGGUACCUAAUCAGAAAGCCACGGCUAACUACGUG